rnacentral:rRNA from 1 species
CCUACGGGUGGCAGCAGUCGAGAAUUUUUCUCAAUGGGGGAAACCCUGAAGGAGCGACGCCGCGUGGGGGAUGAAUGGCUUCGGCCCGUAAACCCCUGUCAUUUGCGAUCAAACCUUACGACUUAACACGUCGUAAGCUGAUAGUAGCGGAAGAGGAAGGGACGGCUAACUCUGUGCCAGCAGCCGCGGUAAUACAGAGGUCCCAAGCGUUGUUCGGAUUCACUGGGCGUAAAGGGUGCGUAGGCGGUCGGGUAAGUCUGACGUGAAAUCUUCAAGCUUAACUUGGAAACUGCGUCGGAUACUAUUCGGCUAGAGGGAUGGAGGGGAGACUGGAAUACUUGGUGUAGCAGUGAAAUGCGUAGAUAUCAAGUGGAACACCAGUGGCGAAGGCGAGUCUCUGGACAUUUCCUGACGCUGAGGCACGAAAGCCAGGGGAGCAAACGGGAUUAGAUACCCUUGUAGUC